GACGUCGAAUAUCGACGUCAUCAACACCAAAGUUGCUGGUGUUUAUGACGUCGAAUAUCGACGUCAUCAACACCAAAGUUGCUGGUGUUAAUGACGUCGAAUAUCGACGUCAUAAACACCAAACUUGCUCGUGUUUAUGACGUCGGAUAUCGACGUC